rnacentral:rRNA from 1 species
UACGUAGGGGGCAAGCGUUGUCCGGAUUUAUUGGGCGUAAAGAGCGUGUAGGCGGCUUGGUAGGUCUGCUGUGAAAACUCGGGGCUCAACCCCGAGACGUCGGUGGAAACCACCUGGCUAGAGUCCGGAAGAGGAGAGUGGAAUUCCUGGUGUAGCGGUGGAAUGCGCAGAUAUCAGGAGGAACACCAAUAGCGAAGGCAGCUCGCUGGGACGGUACUGACGCUAAGGCGCGAAAGCGUGGGGAGCGAACAGG